GUUCUGCACAGUACUUCACGUGCACUCUAGCUGAGACAGAUGUGCUGUAUGGAGAUUUGGGAUCUAUUUGCAUGUGUAGAAUCAAAGGCCUCGCGUGCAGCUGUUCUGUGAAAGGCUGUGAGUCAAUGGCAUUGUCGCUCCAGCUAUACCAAACAGUCCAGGGGGUGCUCAAGAAAGAAAAGUUUUAUUUUGCUUUACAAUGACAUAAUAACCAUAUUUUUUUUUUUUUUUGAGUGGGGAAAGUCUUAAAUCUAACUUUAAAACUUCACUGUAAGUCCUCUAUUUUUCUUUUCUCUUUCUCUAUAUAUUUUAAAAAACAUAUUUUAAUUUUUAUUUUAUUUUUGAAGUUCUGAUACUGGUUUGUCUUAAAUGUUUUAAAAGUUUAGAGUUCUAAAAGUUCAGAAGUUACUGGAUUCCCUUGCCCUUUUCAAUCCCUCCCCCAGGGAGGGCUGCAGUUCCAGAGUUAGGUGUCUGUGCGGAGCUGGGAGUACUCUGCAGGGCAGCUCCAGGGGCUGCGUUAUCUCUGUGCUCUGAGCUGCAGCUUCACGCCAGCUGUCCGCUGAAGGAACAAGAAUCAGCUCCCUGCCAUGCUGGCGUAAUGCUAAGUGGAGCAUAGGAAAAACACAGCAUUGCUGAUUUAACAGAGAAGAAUUUACAAACAAAGGUCUUUCUGCCCUCCUGCAAACUCCCCUGAGUGCAGGCCCUCACUGCCUCCCUGCCCGCGUAGGCCUUCUGGAACCAGACAGAGCACAUCGCUGCAGGACGCCAGAGUGAGCCAGGUACGAUGAGAAUUUCUUACAAACUUGAAAGAAAACUUAGUAGAAGGUCUCUGAAGAAAGAACGGUCAAGCCAGGAGCUCCGAGAGUGCUUUUCAUCGCCCACAAGAGGAGGAAAGUUUUGCCUGGUUUGGAAAACUGGUGAAAUUAAAGGUAAGAAGUUGAAAAACUCGUCACUGGAUAAUGAAUGGUUUAUUACUUCAGUUAAUUUUAUGAAGACCUUUUCCGUUUGCUAAAUUGAAAUGAUCUGUUUCUUGAAAUGAGACACAAAUUAAGAGAGCCUUGUUCUGAAACCUUAACUGCUGGAUUUAGUCUGUGCUGUACUUGUGGCACUGAUGAAAGUCAUUCCAGCAAAUUGUCACACAGCGGGCCAAGGGCUGAUCUGUUUUACUCCUUGCUCGUGUAGCUGGGAUAAGAAUGCACUGAAAGCACCACUACAAGACAAAGAAAUGUUACUGUGCUGGCAAAAUGAUUCUUGAGACCUCCUGGCCUUUUUAUUUAUGAGAGACAAAUUCCAGUGAAGGGUAAUAAUAAUGGCAAGGCUUUUAAUAGUCUGUUGAGCCCUGUUUUGCAGGAGCUGGGCAAACACUGGGAGCUCUAAGGCUGCUCUGCAUUUGGCUGAAAUUAAAGGUGCACAUAGUGUUGGGGAUUUAUUUUCCGAUCUAUAGAAUUCUAUGAAAACUGUAAUUCAGCUGUGCCCAGGGAGAUGUCUCCAUUAAUGCUCCAUUAAUAUUUUAAAAGUCAGUCCAGUCCUUGAGUUGUCAAUGUUCCCUUAUAACAUCUGUUUACUAGCAAGUAAAACCAUGCUCUAAGCAUGGGGUCUGAACAUUCAAAGGGUUUAAAAACAAGCCAUUACAGAACCAGAACUCUAAUCCUUCAGUUAAUCACCAGCAAUAUUUGGAAAGGGAAGAGCUAUUGGAUAUCUACCUUGCAUCAGAUAAGCACCAGGAAUAAUGCACAUCCAGAAACGAAAUCUGUGUAAAUCACUGCAAAGUUGACCAAAGCUGCAUUUUGUGGCAUUCGAAAUACAAGAAAGGUCUGAUGGGGGUGAUGGGAAGCUGUUCAACUGCUGAAAAAUGCUUGAUUUGUAAUAAAAAAGCGGGUUAUUUACUAAGGCUAAAGUUU
rnacentral:lncRNA from 1 species